GAGACACGGCCCAGACUCCUACGGGAGGCAGCAGUGGGGAAUCUUGCGCAAUGGGCGAAAGCCUGACGCAGCAACGCCGCGUGCGGGAGGAAGGCCUUCGGGUUGUAAACCGCUUUCAGGGGAGACGAAGCUUCCAGGGUGAAUAGCCCUGUGGAGUGACGGUAUCUUCAGAAGAAGUCCCGGCUAACUACGUGCCAGCAGCCGCGGUGAUACGUAGGGGACAAGCGUUGUCCGGAAUUAUUGGGCGUAAAGCGCGUGUAGGCGGCCAAGUAAGUCUUACGUGAAAUCCUGAGGCUCAACCUCAGGCCUGCGCGGGAUACUGCUUGGCUAGAGUCCGGAAGAGGAGAGUGGAAUUCCUGGUGUAGCGGUGGAAUGCGCAGAUAUCAGGAGGAACAUCCGUGGCGAAGGCGGCUCUCUGGGACGGUACUGACGCUGAGACGCGAAAGCGUGGGGAGCGAACAGGAUUAGAUACCCUGGUAGUNCACGCCGUAAACGAUGGGCGCUAGGUGUGGGAGGUGUCGAUUCCUUCCGUGCCGAAGCUAACGCAUUAAGCGCCCCGCCUGGGGAGUACGGUCGCAAGACUAAAACUCAAAGGAAUUGACGGAAUCGAAUUCCCGC
rnacentral:rRNA from 1 species